CCUACGGGUGACAGCAGUGGGGAAUAUUGCACAAUGGGGGAAACCCUGAUGCAGCGACGCCGCGUGAGUGAAGAAGUAUUUCGGUAUGUAAAGCUCUAUCAGCAGGGAAGAAGAAAGACGGUACCUGACUAAGAAGCCCCGGCUAACUACGUGCCAGCAGCCGCGGUAAUACGUAGGUGGCAAGCGUUAUCCGGAUUUACUGGGUGUAAAGGGCGUGUAGGCGGGAAAGCAAGUCAGAUGUGAAAACCAUGGGCUCAACCUGUGGCCUGCAUUUGAAACUGUUUUUCUUGAGUACUGGAGAGGCAGACGGAAUUCCUAGUGUAGCGGUGAAAUGCGUAGAUAUAAGGAAGAACACCAGUGGCGAAGGCGGAUGACUGGACGGCAACUGACGGUGAGGCGCGAAAGCGUGGGGAGCAAACAGGAUUAGAUACCCUAGUAGUC
rnacentral:rRNA from 1 species